rnacentral:rRNA from 1 species
AGCGAACGCUGGCGGCAGGCCUAACACAUGCAAGUCGAACGAACCCUUCGGGGUUAGUGGCGGACGGGUGAGUAACACGUGGGAACGUGCCUUUAGGUUCGGAAUAACUCAGGAAAACUUGUGCUAAUACCGAAUGUGCCCUUCGGGGGAAAGAUUUAUCGCCUUUAGAGCGGCCCGCGUCUGAUUAGCUAGUUGGUGAGGUAAUGGCUCACCAAGGCUACGAUCAGUAGCUGGUCUGACAGGAUGAACAGCAACAUUGGGACUGAGACACGGGCCAAACUCCUACGGGAGGCAGCAGUGGGGAAUCGUGCGCAGUGGGCGAAAGCCUGACGCAGCCAUGCCGCGUGGAUGAUGAAGGUCUUAGGAUUGUAAAAUCCUUUCACCGGUGAAGAUAAUGACUGUAGCCGGAGAAGAAGCCCCGGCUAACUUCGUGCCAGCAGCCGCGGUAAUAC